UAGGGAAUAUUGCUCAAUGGGCGAAAGCCUGAAGCAGCAACGCCGCGUGAGCGAUGAAGGUCUUCGGAUCGUAAAGCGCUUUUCUGCGAGAUGAGAAAGGACAGUAUCGUAGGAAUAAGUCUCGGCUAACUACGUGCCAGCAGCCGCGGUAACACGUAGGAGGCGAGCGUUAUCCGGAUUCACUGGGCGUAAAGCGCGUGCAGGCGGUUUGGUAAGUUGGGCGUGAAAGCUCCCGGCUCAACUGGGAGAGGUCGUUCAAUACUACCAAACUAGAGAAUAGAAGAGGAAGAUGGAAUUCCCGGUGUAGUGGUGAAAUGCGUAGAUAUCGGGAGGAACACCAGUGGCGAAGGCGGUCUUCUGGUCUAUUUCUGACGCUCAGACGCGACAGCUAGGGUAGUAAACGG
rnacentral:rRNA from 1 species